rnacentral:rRNA from 1 species
UGGGGAAUAUUGGACAAUGGGCGAAAGCCUGAUCCAGCCAUGCCGCGUGUGUGAAGAAGGUCUUCGGAUUGUAAAGCACUUUAAGUUGGGAGGAAGGGCAUUAACCUAAUACGUUAGUGUUUUGACGUUACCGACAGAAUAAGCACCGGCUAACUCUGUGCCAGCAGCCGCGGUAAUACAGAGGGUGCAAGCGUUAAUCGGAAUUACUGGGCGUAAAGCGCGCGUAGGUGGUUUGUUUAGUUGGAUGUGAAAUCCCCGGGCUCAACCUGGGAACUGCAUUCAAAACUGACUGACUAGAGUAUGGUAGAGGGUGGUGGAAUUUCCUGUGUAGCGGUGAAAUGCGUAGAUAUAGGAAGGAACACCAGUGGCGAAGGCGACCACCUGGACUAAUACUGACACUGAGGUGCGAAAGCGUGGGGAGCAAACA